GGUUUGAAAUUUGACAACUCAUUCUUGUACACUCGCAAUGUUGUGAUUGUCUACUGGUGUUAUUGUAUAAUCCACUUCGCAUACAUUUUAAGAAAUGAGAAGACCAAAGUGCAGAAGGAUAAACAGCAGACAAUCAGCCUCAGCCCAUCACAGAAAAUUAUUGGAGAAUUCAAAAAGAACGAAAUGAACAGGUAUGGCAUAUUGCAGGCGAGUCCGAACUCGAGGACAUCAAGCAUGACAGGUUUUCUUGUAUGAUAUGAGCUGGAAACAUUUAGAUGGCAGGUUCAUGAACAAAGCUGAAGAAGGAAGCCCUGGGGAGAUGAUGGAAUUUCCUGGUCAUUUAGUUGAAGUUGGCAACAGUGAAGCAAACCAUGAAUCUUUGAGGGAUCUAAAUGCAUGUGGAAACAGUUUCAAUUCUCUUCACAAAUUAAAUAUGCAAAAGCAGCAGCAUAAUGUUACUAAUUUUAAAUCUGCUUUAAAAGGUACCUGGAAUACAGUUCAAUUUUAUCCAUUUCCUGGUGUUCUAUAAAGUGUUUAUUUUUCCUGUUUAGUCUUUAUAUGAAGGUAAUUUGCCUUACCUCCUAGCCUAAAGUCUUGAACUCCCAAUAGAUUGUUAACAUUUUCUCCCUCAUUGUUUA